ACUUGAAUAGCUUACUUUUUAGAGCGCGACGCUGAAGAUGUCGAUGAGGUGGUUUAACCUUUAAGUG
rnacentral:tRNA from 1 species